rnacentral:lncRNA from 1 species
AGAGUACGUGCUCCAAACUGAUGCAUUGAUUGUUGCAUGCAGAUAAGGUGCGAGGGCAAGGCUCACCCGGCGUGCUCCGGUGUCCCCGAGACGGUGAUCAUCACGGACAUGAACUACUAUCCGGUCGCCCGCUACCACUUCGACCUCAGCGGCACCGCCUUCGGCGCCAUGGCCAAGGAAGGCCGCAACGACGAGCUCCGCCACGCCGGCAUCAUCGACAUGCAGUUCAAGAGGGUGCCGUGCCAGUACGCGGGGCUGUCGGUGACGUUUCACGUGGAGAAGGGGUCGAACCCAAACUACCUGGCGAUACUGGUGGAGUACGGGAACGGCGACGGCGACGUGGCGCAGGUGGACCUCAUGGACGGCGGCGAGCCAACGGGGUCCUGGAGGCCGAUGAGGGAGUCCUGGGGCUCCAUCUGGCGCAUGGACACGCGCCGCCCGCUUCGGGGGCCCUUCUCCCUGCGGGUCACCAACGGGUCCGGCAGGUCGCUCGUCGCCGACCAGGUCAUCCCCGCCGACUGGCAGCCCGACACCGUGUACAGCUCCGACGUCCAGUUCGAUGAAUGAUCCCGUCCGAUGAUCCAUGGAAGGCAUGCACGUCCAUGCCUGCAUGGAUUUUUUGUGCCAAGUUAUAUAGCUGAGACGUUGCUUGUGACGUCCGGUGCGUGUCCUCAUCGUGUGCUAGCUCCCGCGUAGUACAUAACAUACGUGACAACUUUAAUUAGUUUGUGGAAUUUGGAGUAGCUAGGCAGCUGGUAUAUAUACUACGCCCUCCGUUUCUAAAUAUAAGUCUUUUAAGAGAUUUCACUAGGAGUCUACAUACGGAGCAAAAUGAGUGAAUCUACACUUUAAAGUAUGUCUAUAUACAUCCGUAUGUAGUCUACUAGUGAAAUCUCUAGAAAGACUUAUAUUUAAGAACGGAGGGAGUAUACGGUAUAUGCGCUCUCCUGGCCAUUGCCCGCAGCUAUAAAUUUACGUUUUUAAUUUCUCUUUAUUACACAAGUUUAUUAUGUCACUGGUGUAUAUAUAUGUCUACCCUGUUCAAGUACAUUAAUUAUGCUCUUGUUUGUUGUAAGUUGCGACAUUGUACGUUCUUUGAACGGACAUAUUGGUCCAAGUGCAUUCAAUUUAUACUCAAUGUUCUUUUCAUGAAAAAUGUGUCUUCAUGUUCAAAACAAUAUGUUCCCAUGAUGGUCAUAAUGUCACACUUUUAUCACACAUGAAUGUGCUUUCUCCCAUUCCCAUAUUCACAGUUCUUCAUUGUUAUUUUGUUCCAUCUUCACACCUCUCUCAUCCUCUUAGACAUCAGCCAUCAACAAAGUAAUUAGAGUUUCUCGAGUGGUACACCAUGAAACGACUCUAAUGUCUAUCGGCCCACCUACUCAUCUUUUAUCUCUUCAAUUUCAUGUGAUGCAAUCACCACCUCUAACCAUAAGUCCAGCAAUUUGGAAGACAAUAAUCUGCUUUGUCCUGGUCCUGGAACAUUAGUUAUAUGUUCCCAUUAUUUGGAAGACAAUUUGGAAGACAAUUUCACGUGAUUCAAUUCACAUUAGUUAUAUGUUGUAUCUUAGAACCUAGGUCCUGGACAAUUUUUCAUUAUUUCAUGUAAUGAAUUAUUUAUGAAGGUAUAGCUCUGGGCACCAUUUUUUUAGUAUGACACAACUUUGUUGUGCCAUAUAUUUUUGAUAUUGUUCUUCUUAAAAUCUACAAACCAAUAACUCGCUCACAAAACAUUAACAAAGAAUUUACAUGAUCAUAUAGCUAUGAUUACUACUGAAAUAUAUCCAAGAUGAUUUUCCAAAAGAGACAACUGCAUGAAUCUUUACUUCUGUAGGGACAACAUAUGGAAAACAAUCAUAUUUAUAAGUUUUAGUAAACAACAACAUGAACAUAAAAAAAUGAACAUGUUUGUAAACUGCAAGGGCAGAAACAACAUGACGGGAAAAGAAUUGAACAUACAAAAAUAAUGGAAAUUCCAUUUGGCUCCCGGGCCAAAAAAAUUCAAAUAACAAGAAAAAUGAGACAAUCUUUUUUUUUGUGAUCUUUGUCACAUACAAAUGCUAUUUGUAAAUAGUGCAAGAAAAAAACCGAAGACCAAAUGUCACCCCAUAAUUUUUGUUUUCACCAACGAAACAACACUGCCCUGUUCUGCAUGAAAAUUGUCUAGCAUGCUUGUGACACCAACACGAUCAUCUACAACCUUUUUCAGCAUAUUUCAAAAACAUUUGCUAUUAUUUUCAGGGUACUUCACCGGGGAGCAUGAGCUGCUGGGAGCCAAAAUGCCCCUCCCCGAAAAUGACAUAUAUGUUUACCUCUCAAGCAGCAUCAAUAUAAGUAGUAGACAAUAACAUCAACAUGACAAAUGAACAUUUUUCUGAACUGCAAGUGCAGAACCUGCGCGACAGGUAAAUAAUUGAACAUACAAAAAUGAUGUAUAUUUUCAACUAUAAAGCAACCCUUAGUGAGGCCGCGUCCACGGGGAAACCCUUAAUUAUCAUGAGUUGUAACCCAGAGGCGAGAUUAUGAUAGUGGUGUGCAUGGCACGAAAUCGACAACGAGUUGAACGUGUUCGAUGCCCUACUCCGCCCAGCAUAAUCGUCAACUAUCCGCUUCAUGCUAUGCUUUUGCAUAGUAGUACUAGAAACAUACCAAUGGGGAUACCAGACUCCCUGAGAACACCUUUAAUUCUGUUGUUUCCCUAUCAUUUACUACUCUUGUUUUUAUUUACUUUUAUGUUAUUUAAUUACAAGUCACCAUUUUACUUGAAUCUCAUUUAAAUCCGCCCACACACUUCUUUAAGUCUAUAAUUAUCUCCAGACACAAAGUUACAUAAUUCCCUAUGAGGAGCAAAAGCGUGAUUCAUGUGUCCCUGUAGGAUCGAUACUCUUACUUGAAAAAGGCUACAAUUAAACCAUGUGCACUUGCAGGCUAUCAGGUUUCGGGAGUGGAUCGAAAUCAUGUGGGAUCUUCGGGAUAUGUUAUACAUAACCAUGAAGCAUAAUUUCUUGCUGGAGAUGGAAUUCCUCUUUACCAAAAACUGCAAGCUGCUCAUGCCCACUUGGAAACCUACUCCGAGGAGUUUAUUGAACCAUGGAAGACCAGAAAAAAAGAACUGGGCGGCGAUUCUCUCUAUUCUUAAAAAAAUUCAUGGGCUUAGUAGGGUGUUCACUAGUUUUAAAUUUGAUUGUAUAAGCUGUAAGGCCAAUUUGCGUGCUCUUGUCCUAAUAAAACCGGCUGUGAUUUCUCGACAGGAGUGUGCCUGGAUUCGAUAUUUCUUUGCGUCUGACUUUUUUUGUUUGGUGUGUGUUUGAUCCUUCUACCAUGCGUCAGAUUUUCAUCUUUCUGCUUGAUCGAAGGGUUGUUGAGGAGCGUUGGAUGAGAGUCGUAUGAAAUUUAUGUACGUGUGUAGUAGUGCUCGCUUGGAUUUGCAGCUUUUGUAGACCCCUGCAUCCAGCAUGACUUAUCGCCAGGUGGUGUUGUUCAAAUAAAGUAGAUUCCUAGUAAAUGCUAAUGAUCCGACGCCAGUUCCUUAGCCAUUCCGAGCGAACACCCUUCAGCAUGUCGGAUCCCACACGUGAAUCUUAAAGUGCUCACUUCCACACACCUUUCUGAGCAAACUUGGAGCUGACAACAUAACUCAGGAUGGAAAUCUGAACGAACACACUUGGGAUGAAAAUUUGUGUUUUUACAGAAUGGCAAUUCACCUUUUUCGUUGGUGUAGCAUGGCAACCCUUUAGCCAGCACUGCAAAUUCCAAGGAUGACAAUUUUCAGAAUUUACCUUUGCUAGGCUGACAAUUUUAUAAGUGAAAGAACAUGGCAAUUACUCGGCUGCAACAUGAAAAUUUUCUGACAUUUUUUAUAUAAAAUGACAACUUUUACUUUAAAACAUACCAAAUCCUUAUAGAACAGCAGAGGCAGAUCAUGACGUGGCUGUAGAGGAGUGUGCGGUUUGUACGCAAUGGGCAGAUUGUGCAGAUGUUCCAACAAUUUGUACUAGUCUCACUACCAGAAUAACGCCCGUCGGCAUAGGCCCGAAAACAGUCGGGAUAGGCCUAUGCCGAUGUUGGUCGUCGGCAUAGUCUCGUCGGCAACUCGUACGUCGGUGUAUCGGAGAGCGGCCGUCAUCAUAGAAAAACCGUUAGCAUAGGUGGCUAAGCCGACCGUCUUCAUACAGCCGUCGGCAUACAUACACCGUCGACAAAAUUCUACGUGUGACGGUCGCGCCGCCGUCAAACCUACGCCAAUCACAUACAGCCACGUGGCAUCUGCUGGGCAAUACAGGUAUGAAGCUACUCCGACGGUUACACCGGCGCCUAACCAGCGGCCUAUCUUUGUACUAGGAUUGCCCAGCAGACAAUGGCGGAGCUACCGCCCGGCAGUUUCCCAGGCUUAGCUUGCAAUCCAUUCCUUAAAAUAAUGACAAGAUUGAACAAAAUCCAGUUUUUCUAUGGGCAAAUCAUCAAAUAACUGCCGGCCAUUAGAGCCUUCAUAUGUUGCCCAGGCUAUCACAUUGAGUUGGCUCCGCCACUGCCAGCAGAUGCUACGGGCGCCUCUAUGCCGGCGGUUACACCGUAAUCAUAGAUCCAUAUUUACGCCGACGGUUUAACCGUGAGCAUAUAAGCACACCAGGAAAGCCCAGCGCCCGCCACGUGGCAGCCCUUGGUGGCUCGACCCAUCUAUGAUGAUGGUUAAACCGUCAGCAUAGUUCUCUGUUUUUUUGUUUCCCCUUUUUCUACUUUGAUUUAAAUAAACAACACAACACACACACGCACGCACGCACACACACGCACACUCUAUAUGAUUAUUAAGUCUUUGCCAAGGGGGCAUUGCCACCCCUAGCUUCCAUUUGAUCACGCUUUGAGAUCCGUGCAACAUCUUUUAUGUUUGUCAUUUGUUUAGUCUUUCAUUUGUCUAAUUGCACACGAAUGAUUUCUUAGCACUAAGCGGUAACAAUGUUAAAUAUUGAUACUAUGUAUACGCAAGGAUAUUUUUUGGUGGAAUCUUUUGGAGUUCACGAAAAAAUUAUUUUAGGAAUAUAAGUCUUAAUCACCAAUCAAUUUAUUUGUACUAUUACAAAAGUUAGGAAGCAAUACUAUUUUGAAUACUCUUAGGGAAUCUUUUUGGUCAAGUAUACAUGACCUGACAUUUUGAUAUCCCUAGUUUAACACAUAAUCUACUAGAACCGUAUUAGUGUGAUCAUUAGCAUGCCUCAUUCAUUGAAUCCCGAUGGAGGAAUGAUGAUGGCAUAGUUUUUGCAUGGAUCACGAGGCAUGAAUUAAACGGACAUAAGAUGGGGUGGCACUACCACCUAGAGGGGUGGCAUAGUCACCGGGUGUUAAAAAAUCUAUACUAUAUAUAUAGAGAGAGAGAGGAAAAAUACAUAAUACCACCUAGGGUAGUUACCCCACAUGUCUCAUAUACUAUCAUGUGAUAGUAUAUGUAUUAAUUUAUCAUUGUAAGUAUGUUGAUAUACUAUAUAUAAGAUAGUUGCAAGUGAGUUGCAUGAAAAAAUUGCAAGUUGACCCAUGAUUUUUACUACAUUUCCAAAAAACGUAUAUAUUUGUACGUAAAAAGAAGCAUGCUCAAAAUACGAGACAUACUAACAAAAGCAGUAUAUAUACUCCCUAUUCAUUCUUAUAUAGUAUACAGUACGUCUACAUACUCUUCGAUUUAAUAGAUACUACAUACAACAUACAAAACUGAAGUGACGGUGACUACCACCGGGUGGUAGGAAACAUUUGCCCUAUUCUUUAAUUAAUGCAAAUUUUCAUUCUUUCCAAAUCAACAAAUGUUAAUCAAUUGACAUACUAGCUAUUAAAUGCUAGGUGCCCCAAACAUUUUACCUAGGAAAAAUAAAGAAGAGAAUCAUGUAUGAAAGUUCAACAUCAUCGCAAGUUUAACAUCAUCACAAGUUCAACAUCACAACAAAAGUAUCAUCAUAACAAGAAAAGCAACAAGUCAUGUAAAAGGCAUAGAAGACCGUCAAGUUUGUCAUCGCAAAGGCUUAAGCCACGUCCACCGCCAUCGCCAAAGCCAAGAUCACCAAAGCCGAGGUCACUACCGCUACCGUCACCGCCACACCUCGCUAGACCGGAGUGACUGGGCUACUUGACUCGGGAGUGGAACCAUCAUUAGCAUCACCACCGGCUGAUGAUCCAUCGGUUCCCUACAUGUUUGAAAAGAGAUGGUAAGGCGAUAUAUGAUUGUAUUGACUAAACAAUAAGUUGUGGUUGAAUAGUUCGGUGAUGUACUAACCCGGGUGAAAUAGUGUUGGGACACAAAUUGUUCAAACGUAGGCAGCAUAGCUUGUCGUCCAGGAGGUGGUGGUGGUGGUACCAUUGUCGGAAUCUGCCCGAAUGCUAUAGAUGUAAACAUAAUCUUCGUCAUGCGAGUGUUGUGCUCCGUGGCUGCUGCAACUCUCUGGUUCCAGUCAAAGAGCUGCUGACGUGCGAACUCCAAGUAGACCUACAAUAUGACAUGAUGGAACUGAUAAACCACAACAAUGCGAACAAUAAGGGUCGAAAGAAUGAAGAUACAAGGGAAAAUACUUACAGCGUGCUGCUUGGCUAGGAUGGACUAUGCACUGGACGUACUCGGGUGCUGGCAUGACCUCGGCCUCGGUUUGGUAGCUCCGGUUCGUGUGUACGAGACAGAAGGGAUGAUCACAGGAGACAGAAGGGAUGAUCACAGAAUCCCGAACCGACUGCCGACCAUGACUCUUCGGCCAUAUGCUGACCAUCGCUAUCUCGUUGGUAUCCAUAGACAUGGGGUCUGAUGUGCCAGGAUACCACUUCUAAAACAGCUCUGUGUAGGACGCCAGGUUCUCCUCGGUAUCGCCGUAGUACUGACCCCCACCAGCCUUGCGAUUAGUCCGCGCACGGGCGAGCCCCCACGACUCGAUGUCUAAGAGCGGCCGCUUCAAUUUCUCCUCCUAGACUGCCAAUUAGAGGUUUGUCACACAAAAGAACAUACGGUAAAUAGAAGAUCAAGAAUGUUUCAUGUACAUAUAUAUACCUGAAGUUUCUUGUGAUGCGAGUGGUUCCGGUUUCCCUCACCGUGUGUUCCGUCAGAUCCUCGAUUAGCCUUGUUUGUGUUGCUCUUGGCAGAAAACUUGAUCCACAGAUCCACCAAUCUCGCCCAUCCAUCAUUCUUUCCAAAGCACCAAUUAGGAGGCACCUACAUAAUGAAUCAUAAUGGCAUGUGAACACGAAACAAUGAAAUUUACCACAAACGUCGGAAUGAAAAGUAUGUUAUACUUACCAACAUGUACUGCUCCCUAGUCAUGGUAAGGUUCUGUGCCGCGCUUCUUCCUUGGCUAUCUUCUCGCCCAGAACAGUGUGAUAAUACGUCCGGAUGGCCACCCAAAGCACCUCGUAUUGUAUUUGUCAGAUCUGCUUCCUCGCAGCCCGCAGCACGAACUCAUCGGCCUUGUCCUUAUGCUCCUGAAGAAUUUCUAUAGCAUGGCAACCCUUUAGCCAGCACUGCAAAUUCCGAGGAUGAAAAUUUUCACCAUUUACCUUUUCUAGGCUUACGAUUUUAUAUGUUGCAAUCAUGGCAAAAAUAAAUGAAAGUACAUGGCAAUUACUGGGCUGCAACAUGAAAAUUUCCUGACAAUUUUUUUGUAUAACAUGACAACUUUUACUAUACAACAGCAGAGACAGAUCAUGACGUGGCCGGAGAAAAGUGGGUGGUUUGUUUGCAAUGGCCAGAUUGUGUAGAUGUUCCAACAAUUUGUACUAGUCUUGUUCCAUUGUAUCUUUCGAUGCUUCGUUAUUUUGUCACCGGAUGGAUUCUAGGGUUGUAUUAUGCCGUGUCAUGGACUGACGGCCUCACGGGUAGCGUGUAACCAAAACCUCUAUCAGAUUAUCUUAGCAUGUCCUGAUCGGCUACUGAUGCGCACGUAGCUUAAGAUGGGUAUACUAGUUUGGUAUUUUGGAAGUACAUAGACACGCGAGCUAGCGCUCCACCGGUUACAUGACAAAUCAUGUGGCUUUAUAUGGUCGGCAAUCUGCAUCAUAUGCUGGCUGCCGGCAUGUCAUACACAGUACUUGUAUGUAGAGUGUAUAUAUAUGUGUAUGGUGGAUGAUCCGUAAAAAAAUGUAUGGUUGAUGAUGGAAGAUGUUUUUUAAAACAUAAAAGCAGAGAGAAAUGCAUCUCGUGACCACGGGCAAGGGUGUAAGCAGCCGGUUGAGUGCCUCCAUCCAUGCACAUGUGAACCGGUAGGGCCUUGAUGCCAAUCACCAGUCAUCUCCAUUCAUUCCUUCCUUCUUCCCUUUGAUCUCCAGAAGCACCUCACUGGCUGGCCUAUAAAUUCGCAAUCUCCCCAACGGCAUUAACCACCAGAGUAGGGUCAUCGAUCAGUAACCAACGAGACCAGCAAGCGAGCCAUGGCAGCGGCCUUUUCCUCCUACUCCGUCGCGGCCGCUUUCCUCUGCCUGCUCGCCGCCAACGGCUGCUGCGGCUGCCCCUGGUUUCUCCCUGCUACAUUCUGCCCUGGACCGACACCCGACCCCAUACCUACACCUGACCCCGCUCCAGCUACACCUCCGCCUGCUCUGGCUACCCCCAGCCCAGGCUCCGGCUCUGGCAGCGCCAACGGUUCCAUGGGCGGCUGGCUGGACGCCAGGGCCACAUGGUACGGCGCUCCGGAUGGCGCCGGGCCGUUGGACAACGGUGGCGCGUGCGGGUUCAAGAACGUGAACCUGCCGCCCUUCAACGCCAUGACGUCGUGCGGCAACGAGCCGAUCUUCAAGGACGGCAAGGGAUGCGGCUCCUGCUACCAGGUCAGCCGUUUAAUUAUUUGCUUGACAUUGACAGUACGUGCUUGUCGUUCCGUUUAUCCAGCUCCAAACUGAUGCAUUCAUUGUUGCACGCAGAUAAGGUGCGUGGGCAAGGUUCACCCAGCGUGCUCCGGCGACCCCGAGACGGUGAUCAUCACCGACAUGAACUACUACCCGGUCGCCCGCUACCACUUCGACCUCAGCGGCACUGCCUUCGGCGCCAUGGCCAAGGACGGCCGCAACGACGAGCUCCGCCACGCCGGCAUCAUCGACAUGCAGUUCAAGAGGGUGCCGUGCCAGUACACAGGGCUGUCCGUGACGUUUCACGUGGAGAAGGGGUCGAACCCGAAUUACCUGGCGAUCCUGGUGGAGUACGGGAACGGCGACGGCGACGUGGCGCAGGUGGA